UUGCAAUAAAAUAAGGUUGUGUUAGUGUUGUGCUGGUGCCUGCAACUUUACCUCUUGCCAAGGCCAGAAAAUUCUGCCACGUUUCCCUAAACACCUAUAACUUGGCCCUCUUGUGUACAGGCAGUAUUCCAUAUUAUUACACGUGGUGCUGAUUUUUAAUGAAUAUUAUAAAACUUUGGCUCGCUCUACUGAGGGAAGGAUCAUAAAUCCCCCCUGUAAAACAGGCACUGGCAUAUGCUGAGGAAGCAGUGAAGCGUCGCCCUGGGAGUCUUGUGAUAUCAUCUAAAGCGUUGCUCUGAACCACCUUCGUUUGAGGGCAGAGUUUUGAAAGGCCCCAUUUGGAAUGUCUGUGUAGAAAGCUAAGUGAUGGCUGAAAGCAAGCUGAAGGUGCUGAGCUAAUUUUCUAACGGCACUGCAGAGCCUCUGCGUGGAGGUCUGGGGACUGGAUUUUCUCUGCUAACCUAUCUGGCUUUCAGAUAAGGAAAAGUCCUAGAGCUAGGAGUAGCCCUCAGUCUCCUGACCUGAUCUGGUGCCUCCUAGGACAAAACACGCUGCUUCUGAGGUCCCUGCCUGACCGCUGGCAAGGACAGAGUACUAAUUCCUGGUCUGCCGUGGUCAGGCCGUUUCUUAUAGUCUUAUGGAUGGUUCUGUUUCACAUUCCUCAUUCUUGAAUUAAGGUCUUAUUACCCCCAGCUGUUGGGAUUGCUGCUAGCAGACAGCCCUCAGCAGGCAGUGCUGCUUCAGGAGGAGCUUUGGCUGAAGAAAGCUGCUUCUCCCAAGGUCACACCUCUUUCCCAGUAUGCCCCCCUUUGAAGGACAGAUUCAAGCAGGACUGCAAAGACCCAGCCCUCAACUCACUCAGACAGCUCUGAAGAGUCAUCCAUUUUCAGAACUUCCCAUCAGGUUAGAGACAAGAUCUGGCCGUGUUUCUAAAAAUAAAGCUGGAGUGCAUUUGCAAGAUCACAGAUCACUGCCACCUUGACCUCCCACACUCAAGCAAUUCUCUUAUCUCAGCCUCCUAAGUAGCUGGGACUACAGGUGGGUACCACCACAAUUAUUUUUGUAUAAAUGGAGUCUCACUAUGUUGCCCAGGCUGAUCUUGAACUCUUGGGCUCAAGUGAUCCUCCCGCCUUG
rnacentral:lncRNA from 13 species